rnacentral:lncRNA from 1 species
UGGUGGGACUGGGUUGGGCAGGACUUAGUGGGACCCAUGGCCCCACGAAGAGGAGGGGAUGAAUGGGGGGAGGUCGGGGCCCGGCCGUGCCUCAGUUUCCCCGUUGCCCCGCAGACGCGGUGGGGCUGUCGGACCCGGGGCAGGUGGCGGGGCUGCAGGAGAAGUCCCAGGUGGCCCUGGAGGAGCACGUGAGGCGACAGCACCCCAGCCAGCCCAGCCGCUUCGGGCGCCUUCUCCUGCGCCUGCCCGCCCUGCGCAGCGUCUCCGCCCCCGGCAUCCAGCAGCUCUUCUUCAGCCGCCUGGUGGGCAAGACCCCCAUCGAGACCCUCAUCCGCGACAUGCUCCUGGCCGGAGCCACCCUCAACUGGCCCUACGGCCCCAUGCAGUGACCGGCCACCCCGGGAUGGGGACCCCAAGGUGGGGACUCCAAGGAUGGGGACACCAAGGUUGGCACCCCAAAGAUGGAGUCACCAAGGAUGGGGGCCACCAACGAUUCAGAGACCCUCAAAGAUGUGGUCACCAAGGAGGGGAUCCCAAAGAUGGAGACAGCAAGGAUGGGGACACCAAGGUUGACACCCCAAUGAUGGUGUCACCAAGGAUGGGGCCACCAACAAUUCAGACCCCCCAAAGAUGGAGACACCAACGAUGGGGCCACCAAUGUUGGGGAUUCCAUGGAUGGGACCUCAAAGAUGGGGACACCACCACCGAUUCAGACCCCCAAAGAUGGGGACACCAAGGAGAGGAUCCCAAGAUGGAGACAUCAAGGAUGGGGACACCAAGGUUGGAGACCCCAAAGAUGGGGGCACCAACGAUUCAGUUCCCCAAAGACAGGAACCCCAUAGUUGGGGACCCCAAGGAGGGGAUCCCAAAGAUGGGGACACCAAGGAUGGGGACACCACCCCCUCCCCCCCCAAAAGGGGACCCCAUGGUUGGGGAUUCCAAGGAAGGGAGCCCAAAGAUGGGGACACCAAGGAUGGAGACAUCAAAGAUGGGGUCACCAAGAUUGGACCCCGAGGAGGGGACCCCGAGGAGGGGAUCUCAAAGAUGGAGACACCAAGGUUGGGGGAUCUCAAAGACGGGACCCCAAAGACAAGGACCCUAUGGUUGGGGACCCUCAAGGAUGGGGACACCAAGGUUGGAGACCCCAAAGAUGGGACUCCAGGGAUGGGACCCCAAAAAUGGGGACCCCCCCCAAGGUUGGGGACGUGGGGCCCGGGAUGUUGCUUGGCCGGGGGUGGGUGGGGGUGAUUUUUUCCCCCUAUUUAAGGGUGAAAAGCAGGUUUUGGGGGGGCUGACCCCCCCCCCCAGAAGUGCCUGCCCCACAGGGACAGGGCGAGGGGGGGCUAUUUAUAAAGAGAAACUAAAAUAAAACAAAAGGUGAU